UACGUAGGGUGCAAGCGUUAAUCGGAAUUACUGGGCGUAAAGCGUGCGCAGGCGGUUAUGUAAGACAGAUGUGAAAUCCCCGGGCUCAACCUGGGAACUGCAUUUGUGACUGCAUAGCUAGAGUACGGUAGAGGGGGAUGGAAUUCCGCGUGUAGCAGUGAAAUGCGUAGAUAUGCGGAGGAACACCGAUGGCGAAGGCAGCCCCCUGGGCUAACACUGACGCUCAUGCACGAAAGCGUGGGGAGCAAACAGG
rnacentral:rRNA from 1 species